rnacentral:rRNA from 1 species
UACGAAGGGUGCAAGCGUUACUCGGAAUUACUGGGCGUAAAGCGUGCGUAGGCGGUUUGUUAAGUCCGUUGUGAAAGCCCCGGGCUCAACCUGGGAAUGGCAUUUGGGACUGCAAGGCUUGAGUGCGGCAGAGGAGACUGGAAUUCCUGGUGUAGCAGUGAAAUGCGUAGAUAUCAGGAGGAACACCGAUGGCGAAGGCAGGUCUCUGGGCUGACACUGACGCUCAUGCACGAAAGCGUGGGGAGCAAACAGG